rnacentral:lncRNA from 1 species
GAGACGAGCAAGAAAAAAACAAAAUAUACAAUUAAUAGCAACUAUUCGUCUUUUACACAAUGCGUUCGAUAUUGCAUAAAGACGGAUCGAAAGAUACCAGAGGGACAUUCAAACUCAUAAAUUGAAAAAACCUGACAACGCCAUGGUUAAAAAAGAAAAAAAAAGACAAACAGACAAACAAUAAUACACAAAACACAACAUAGAACACUAAAGACUAAGCAACAUGAACCCCACC